ACAACAUGUGAUUUUGUUCCUAACAGCACAUUUAACGGAGUGUUAACGCCGAUAAAGUAAACAAACAAUCUAUCUGCAACAUAGAAAUCACCAAACAAAAUCGAAUAUGAAGGAAAAAUGCAGAGUUUGCUGGCUGAAAUACCAGAACAUGGUCAACAUUUUUAAGCAAACUGUGGAGUUUGAGAUUACCCUGGCCGAAAUGAUUUCGCAGUUCACAGGCUAUCCAGUCCAAAAGGGAGACCCCUUUUCCGAGUUUAUUUGCCAACUUUGCCUUAAGGAUACGCAAAAUGCGUACAGAUCUCGACCAACUUACGAGCCGGACCAUGAGUUCACCUGCCAAGUAAAGGAGGAAAUGAUAGAUGAUUCACUACAGGAAGCUGAUUAUAAUGACUCUCAAGGAUCACAAUAUGGAGAGGAAACGCAGCAAUUCGCUUGCCUAGUGAAGAACGAGUCCUUAGAAAAAGACUUUCUAGAUAAUGACAUCUCUUUAACAGCACCUUACCAAAUAGGGGAACAAAAUGAAGAUUUAAGUUACGAAAAAAUCAAAAAGGUUAAAAAAAAGGUAAAAGGUUCAGCGAAAAAGGCACUACCUCUCAGUUGUCUUCAUUGUUCUGAGACCUUUCGAAGCAAAUAUUUUCUAGAUCUGCACAAACAAGUUUACAUGAAGGAACCGAAAUACUCAUGUAUUCACUGUCCCAAGACUUUUGCAACUUUAUACCAACAUAACAGUCACAUGGUGACCCACACUGGAGAACGAACACACAAAUGUCCGCAAUGUCUUAAAUCAUUUAUCGGUAGUUCAAAUCUGCAAACACACGUCCGCAUUCACACUGGCGAGCGACCAUUUAAAUGCCUCAAAUGCCCAAAGACUUUCAUACAGAAAACGCAUCUUGUCAACCACAAUCGCACGCACACUGGCGAAAGUCCCUUUAGUUGCCCAAAGUGUCUUAAGACCUUUAGACAACCAGCUAAUCUCCAAGCGCACCUGAAGGGUUCACAUUGACCCGGGUCAAGUCCCGAACAGAGAAACCACUUUUUAAGUGCACCCACUGCUCCUCGUCGUUCAAAGACCAAGAUGCUCUGCUAGAUCACAUUCACAUCCACAACGCUUUAUUUGAGGAAGAAGUCUGUAAGAUGUCUAACAAUGAAAAUGAUCAGCUUAAUGAUAUCAAAGUGGAUAUUUUUAAAGAUGAUGAGCAAAACAAUUCGAUUUUAGAGGCAAAUAUGCAGGUCUGUCCGGAUGAACACCUUGGAAAUAGCUGAGAACAUCUUUUAUUUUCAAGGGCAGACUACCUCGUGAAGCAUGGCUUCUAGGAUUACAAUAAAGAAGGAGAUUCUUAAGACUUUUGAAUAUUA